GAUGAACGCUGGCGGCGUGCCUAAUACAUGCAAGUCGAGCGAACAGACGAGGAGCUUGCUCCUCUGACGUUAGCGGCGGACGGGUGAGUAACACGUGGAUAACCUACCUAUAAGACUGGGAUAACUUCGGGAAACCGGAGCUAAUACCGGAUAACAUGUUGAACCGCAUGGUUCAACAGUGAAAGACGGUCUUGCUGUCACUUAUAGAUGGAUCCGCGCCGCAUUAGCUAGUUGGUAAGGUAACGGCUUACCAAGGCAACGAUGCGUAGCCGACCUGAGAGGGUGAUCGGCCACACUGGAACUGAGACACGGUCCAGACUCCUACGGGAGGCAGCAGUGGGGAAUCUUCCGCAAUGGGCGAAAGCCUGACGGAGCAACGCCGCGUGAGUGAUGAAGGUCUUCGGAUCGUAAAACUCUGUUAUUAGGGAAGAACAAAUGUGUAAGUAACUAUGCACGUCUUGACGGUACCUAAUCAGAAAGCCACGGCUAACUACGUG
rnacentral:rRNA from 1 species